UUAAUACCGUAUACCUCCCUCGGGAGAAAGAAGGCCUCUCUUUGAAGCUUUCGCUACUAGAUGAGCCUGCGUAAGAUUAGCUUGUUGGUGAGGUAAAGGCUCACCAAGGCUACGAUCUUUAGCUGGUCUGAGAGGACGAUCAGCCACAUUGGGACUGAGACACGGCCCAGACUCCUACGGGAGGCAGCAGUGGGGAAUAUUGGACAAUGGGCGCAAGCCUGAUCCAGCCAUACCGCGUGUGUGAAGAAGGCCUUCGGGUUGUAAAGCACUUUAAGCAGGGAGAAAAAGUUAUAAGCUAAUAUCUUAUGACCUUGAUGUUACCUGCAGAAUAAGCACCGGCUAAUUCCGUGCCAGCAGCCGCGGUAAUACGGAAGGUGCAAGCGUUAAUCGGAAUUACUGGGCGUAAAGCGCGCGUAGGUGGUUUGUUAAGUUGGAUGUGAAAGCCCUGGGCUCAACCUAGGAACUGCAUCCAAAACUAACUCACUAGAGUACGAUAGAGGGAGGUAGAAUUCAUAGUGUAGCGGUGGAAUGCGUAGAUAUUAUGAAGAAUACCAGUGGCGAAGGCGGCCUCCUGGAUCUGUACUGACACUGAGGUGCGAAAGCGUGGGUAGCGAACAGGAUUAGAUACCCUGGUAGUCCACGCCGUAAACGAUGACAACUAGCUGUUGGGAGACAAAGUCUUUCAGUGGCGCAGCUAACGCUUAAGUGUCCGCCUGGA
rnacentral:rRNA from 1 species